rnacentral:lncRNA from 1 species
AGGCUUUCACUAACCUUUUCCCCAAAAGCCUCCCAGAUUCUGCUCACCAACCAGUGCCAAAGCCAGUGGCAGAUGUUUUAAGAUUUUGUUACAGUAGCACCCCACUUCCAACACCAGAUUUCUACUCCAAUCACUACUGCUGUCGAAAAAUCACCCUAGGGGUCUAAUCGGAGCUGUAGCUGCCGGCCUAUGCUAUAGCCACAGCAACGCCAGAUCUGAGCCAUGUUUGUAACCUACAUGACAGCUCACAGCAAUGCCAGAUCCUUAACCCACUGAGCAAGGCCAGGGAUCGAACCCACAAUCUCAUGGUUCCUAGUCAGAUUCGUUAACCACUGAGCCACAAUGGGAACUCCUGGUUUUUUGUUUUUUGUGUUUUUUUUUUGGUUUAUUUAUUUACUUAUUUAUUUUUGUCUUUUGUCUUUUUAGGGCUGCACCUGCAGCAUAUGGAAGUUCCCAGCCUAGGGGUCUAAUCAGAGCUACAGCUGCUGGCCUAUGCCACAGCUGCAUCAACGCUGGAUCCAAUCCGUGUCUUCGACCUACACCACAGCUCACAGCAACGCAGGAUCCUUCACCCACUGAAUGAGGCCUGGGAUCAAACCCAUAACCUCAUGGUUCCUAGUCAGUUUUGUUUCCACUGCACCACGACAGAACUCCAGAGCCUCAGUUUCAACCUACGCUGCAGCAAGGCCAGAUCCCUUUAACCCCCCUGUGCUGGGCAGGGGAUCAAACCUGUGUCCUGGAGCUGCAGACAUCACUGAUACUUAACUUUUUUUUUUUUUUAACUAUGGUAUGAAUGGCCUUUAAUUGUUUGCAAUGGGAGGUGGAAGAUUAAAGCCAGCUUUUCCUCCUGGGGUGACUCCACAGACUUGGUCGCAGCCCUAAUGACUUAACUUCUUGAUGCUGAUAGUAAAAUGUGAGUGGACAGAGAUAAAGUAAGAGUGUGUUAUUAAGCUUAAAGGAACCAGAUUGUGAAGAUUUAGGACUUACUCAUAUGCAAAAAAUGAGAAGGCACGCUCUGGAGAGAACACUAAGUGUGUGGCCAGAUACUGCUCAAGAGACUAUGGUUGUGUGACUUGUGAAUCCAGUCAGCCACUUCAGCAGAAAUGCUGCCAACUUGAAGGGAAGAGAAAGGUUGAAAUGAAAGAACUUUGGGGAUCCUACAGGCAGGAAACACAGAUAGAGCUAGCUAGCUGUGGACAUAGGUUAUCCUUAAAGAAAAGGGAAGAAUGACACUGAGGGUAGGACCACUUCAUUGGCUACAGAGGGUGAAGCCUCCUUUUCAAUUCCAGAGCACUGGUCCACCAUCCAGGGUUGAAGAGGCAGGGCCAGUAGCCCAGUGGGCUUAGAGGACAGAGCAUUUACCAAAGAGGAUUAUUCUCAAGCCUUAAAAUCUAAUGGGAUUUACCCUGCUAGUUUUUGGACUUACUUGGGAUUCAUAACCCUCUUUUUCAUGAUGAUUUCCUUUUGGAAUGGGAAAGUCUAUCCCAUGCCUAUCUGAUUAUUGUGUUUUGAAAGCAAGUAACUUGUCUGGUUUCACAGGUUCACACAUGAAGAGGAUACUGUCCCUGGAUGAAUCAUACCCAUCUCAUCCACACCUGAUUUAGAAGAGAUUAUGGACUUAGAGUUGAUACUGGAAUGGAUUGAGAUUUGGGGGAUGUUGGACAGGGGUGAAUACAUUCUGCAUGUGAAGAGGACAAGAACUUGGUGGGGCUGGGGUGGAGCCAAGAGGCAGAUUGUUGAAGGUUGAACUGUAUCCUGUCAAAAAAGAUGCUGGGGAGUUCCCAUCAUGGCGCAGUGGUUAACGAAUCCAACUAGGAACCAUGAGGUUGCGGGUUCGGUCCCUGGCCUUGCUCAGUGGGUUAAGGAUCCGGCCGUGAGCUGUGGCGUAGGUUGCAGAUGCGGCUCGGAUUCCACGUUACUGUGGCUCUGGCGUAGGCUGGUGGCUACGGCUCUGAUUCGACCCCUAGCCUGGAUACCUCCAUAUGCCGUAGGAGCGGCCCAAGAAAUGGCAAAAAGAUUUAAAAAAAAAAAAAAAAAAA